CCUAAAAUACCAAAUUGGUAUUCAAAACCCCAAUCAAGUCUUUUGCUAACAUCCAACAAAAAUCUAGCAUGUCCUAUUCUCUUUUGUCUUUCCUUUCUUUUUUUUUUCUCGAGCUCUUAAUCAUUUUGGUGUCCAUGGAUUAUUCAGGCCAAUAUUUUAUCAUCUCUCAACCACUCAUAUAAAUGAAUCUUAAAUUUACUCUCCCUUUCAUGUGAAAACAGUAUCCCCUCUCCUUGUGUUGCAGCCCCUACCUUUUUCUGUUCAAGCAAAAAAAAAUAUAACAGUCACACAUAAUUCUUAUUCUCAUAUUUCCUUGACUUAUUUUUCUCUUAAUCACCUCCCAUUAAUCUUUCUAUUUUAUUUUUGAGCAGCAAGUAAAUUGCAGAGCAUGACUGGACUCCACAUUCUUUUACUGGUCUCAUGCAAAAACAGAUAAAUCAUUUCUUUUCUUUCUCUUAAAUUUCCUAGACCCACUUUACUUUUCCAUUUAUUUUUCCUCAUGCAGCCAUUCAUUCUCAGGCUGCACCCCCACGGCUUGCUCCUUCUCCUCUCAUGCAAAAUAAAAACUACAACAAAUACUUUGUCCUUUAGUUUAAAAGGCAAUACCUCUCUUCAAUCAUCUCUUUUGCCAACCCUUACUCCAUUGCAUGCACAUAAAAACAGCCAUGCUUCCUCCUCCUCUUUCUCUCACGCAGCAGUCAUUAUUCCUCCUUAAUCUCCUCACUAAGGAUAGAGAUAGACAUACCUCUCCUCCUGUAGCUGCCCACGCCACUCUCUUCUCCAAUGCAGCAUCCUUCCCUCACUCUCAUGCAAAAACAACAAUAUAAUGCUCCCUCUUUAAUCCCUUGAAGAUAUCUAAAUAAUCACCAUAAUUCCUCCCACUAAAUUACCUUCUCUUGUUCACUAUGGAUAUACAGGUUAAAGAAUGGAGCAUUCUGAUGCUCGGCCACUACUGCAUGCUCUCAUGCUCCUCCUAUUUACCCUCAUGCAAAUAUAUAACAAUGACACUUAAUUUCUU
rnacentral:lncRNA from 1 species